UACGAAGGGGGCUAGCGUUGUUCGGAAUACUGGGCGUAAAGCGCACGCAGGCGGAUUGAUAAGUCAGGGGUGAAAUCCCGGGGCUCAACCUCGGAAUUGCCUUUGAUACUGUCUGUCUUCGAGUUCGGGAGAGGUUGGCGGAAUUCCUAGUGUAGAGGUGAAAUUCGUAGAUAUUAGGAAGAACACCAGUGGCGAAGGCGGCCAACUGGCCCGAUACUGACGCUCAUGUGCGAAAGCGUGGGGAGCAAACAGGG
rnacentral:rRNA from 1 species